UACGGCGGCCAUAGCGGCGGGGAAACACCCGGUCCCAUGCCGAACCCGGAAGUUAAGCCUGCCAGCGCCGAUGGUACUGCAACCGAGAGGCUGUGGGAGAGUAGGACGCCGCCGGAC
rnacentral:rRNA from 15 species